UUCAAGCUCCCUAGCUCAGUCGACAGAGCAUGAGACUCUUAAUCCCAGGGUUGUAGGUUUCAGCCCUGCGUUGGGUGAAA